rnacentral:lncRNA from 1 species
AUGUGCUUGUAUUGUAUGCUGCUGCUGAUGCGUGCGUUAUUGGAGCUAUUCUCUUGUGCUUUCUUGGGCCUUUGUUUAUUCUCCUUCUUGAGUGAACAAGUUCCUUUUGCACUGAAAAGUCAGAUAGUCCUGCAAUUGAAAGUUGAAAGAGAAAGAAAAAAGAAGAAGAAACAUGUCAAGAAUUUUCUACUGCAUGGGUAG